rnacentral:rRNA from 1 species
AAUGAACGCUGGCGGCAUGCCUUACACAUGCAAGUCGAACGGCAGCAUGACCUAGCUGGCUAGGUUGAUGGCGAGUGGCGAACGGGUGAGUAAUGCAUCGGAACGUGCCUUUUAGUGGGGGAUAACGUAGCGAAAGUUACGCUAAUACCGCAUAUUCUCUGAGGAGGAAAGCAGGGGACCUUCGGGCCUUGCGCUAGAAGAGCGGCCGAUGUCGGAUUAGCUAGUUGGUGAGGUAAAGGCUCACCAAGGCAACGAUCCGUAGCGGGUCUGAGAGGAUGAUCCGCCACACUGGGACUGAGACACGGCCCAGACUCCUACGGGAGGCAGCAGUGGGGAAUUUUGGACAAUGGGCGCAAGCCUGAUCCAGCCAUGCCGCGUGAGUGAAGAAGGCCUUCGGGUUGUAAAGCUCUUUCGGCUGGGAAGAAAUCGCACCCUCUAAUACAGGGUGUGGAUGACGGUACCAGCAAAAGAAGCACCGGCUAACUACGUG